rnacentral:misc_RNA from 1 species
UAGGGAGACCUAAUCCAUUUAGAAAUCGAAAACAAUGAAAAUUGUCAAUAGAAACUAAAUUGGUCUAACCUAGGUCGUUCGAGAUUGGUAGACAUCUUUCAAAGUAUUAUUCGGCUUCGUUCAAAACCAUAUAUAAUAAAUGGAAAAAGACAGCACCUAAUUGUCAAAGUUAGACUGCUGGAUGAAGUUCCAGCCAGAACCUUGAGAACUGCAUAAGAGAACAAGAAAAAGCAGGCAGACACAGACAUUUAGAUGGAUGUGGAAGCAAAAGAAAUUGU